rnacentral:rRNA from 1 species
CUACGGGUUGCAGCAGUGAGGAAUAUUGGACAAUGGAUGGAAAUCUGAUCCAGCCAUGCCGCAUGCAGGAAGACGGCCCUAUGGGUUGUAAACUGCUUUUCUACGGGAGCAAUAAGGUCUACGAGUAGACUGAUGAGAGUACCGUAGGAAUAAGCAUCGGCUAACUCCGUGCCAGCAGCCGCGGUAAUACGGAGGAUGCGAGCGUUAUCCGGAUUUAUUGGGUUUAAAGGGUGCGUAGGCGGCUUUUUGAGUCAGCGGUGAAAUUUUGCAGCUUAACUGUAACAGUGCCGUUGAUACUGAGAGGCUAGGAUUUGGUUGCUGUGGGUGGAAUGUGUGGUGUAGCGGUGAAAUGCUUAGAGAUCACACAGAAUAUCGAUUGCGAAGGCAGCUCACAAAGCCAAGAUUGACGCUGAGGCACGAAAGUGUGGGGAUCAAACAGGAUUAGAUACCCCGGUAGUC